rnacentral:rRNA from 1 species
UUAACCGAGGAAUUGCUGGGCGAACUGACAGUCUUGAGGCAAGUAGGGGCGCACGGAACUCUUGGUUGACCGCUGGAAUGCGUAGAUAUCAAGAGGAACGCCAGAGGCGAAGGCGGUGCCCUGGGCUUGACCUGACGCUGAGGUGCGAAAGCCAGGGGAGCGAACGGGAUUAGAUACCCCGGUAGUCCUGGCCAUAAACGAUGUCUACUAGAUCUGAGGUGUUCUGACACACUUCUGGUCGAAACACAAGCGUUAAGUAGACCGCCUGGGGAGUACGGUCGCAAGGCUAAAACUCAAAGGAAUUGACGGGGGCUCACACAAGCGGUGGAGCAUGUUGCUUAAUUCGAUGCAACGCGAAGAACCUUAUCCUGGGCUUGACAUGCUUGGAUGCCCAUCUAGAAAUAGAGUAGGCUGCCCUUCGGGGUGAAACUUGCACAGGUGCUGCAUGGCUGUCGUCAGCUCGUGUCGUGAGAUGUUGGGUUAAGUCCCGCAACGAGCGAAACCCUUGUCGUUAGUUGCCAGCGAGUAAAGUCGGGGACUCUAACGAGACUGCCGGUGUUAAACCGGAGGAAGGUGGGGAUGACGUCAAGUCCUCAUGGCCUUUAUGCCCAGGGCUGCAAACGUGCUACAAUGGCGUGUACAAGCCGGUGCAAGACCGCGAGGUGGAGCAAAUCGGAAAAAGCACGCCCCAGUUCGGAUUGGAGUCUGCAACUCGACUCCAUGAAGUUGGAAUCGCUAGUAAUCGCAGAUCAGCAAUGCUGCGGUGAAUGUGUUCCUGAGCCUUGUACACACCGCCCGUCAAGUCAUGGAAGCCGGGAGCACCCGAAGUCGG